UAGAUACCCUGGUAGUCCACGCCCUAAACGAUGUCUACUAGUUGUCGGGGAUUAAUUUCCUUGGUAACGCAGCUAACGCGUGAAGUAGACCGCCUGGGGAGUACGGUCGCAAGAUUAAAACUCAAAGGAAUUGACGGGGACCCGCACAAGCGGUGGAUGAUGUGGAUUAAUUCGAUGCAACGCGAAAAACCUUACCUACGCUUGACAUGUCCGGAACCCUGAAGAGAUUUGGGGGUGCUCGAAAGAGAGC
rnacentral:rRNA from 1 species